UACAGAGGUCCCAAGCGUUGUUCGGAUUCACUGGGCGUAAAGGGUGCGUAGGUGGUGGGGUAAGUCGGAUGUGAAAGCUCGGAGCUCAACUCCGAAAUGGCAUUGGAAACUACCCUGCUAGAGGAUUGGAGGGGGGACUGGAAUACUUGGUGUAGCAGUGAAAUGCGUAGAUAUCAAGUGGAACACCAGUGGCGAAGGCGAGUCCCUGGACAAUACCUGACGCUGAGGCACGAAAGCCAGGGGAGCAAACGGG
rnacentral:rRNA from 1 species